UACGAAGGGUGCAAGCGUUGUUCGGAAUUACUGGGCGUAAAGGGCUCGUAGGCGGCCAACUAAGUCGGAUGUGAAAUCCCCAGGCUCAACCUGGGAACUGCAUCCGAUACUGGAUGGCUUGAAUUCGGGAGAGGGAUGCAGAAUUCCAGGUGUAGCGGUGAAAUGCGUAGAUAUCUGGAGGAAUACCGGUGGCGAAGGCGGCAUCCUGGACCGACAUUGACGCUGAUGAGCGAAAGCUAGGGGAGCAAACGGG
rnacentral:rRNA from 1 species